CUGACACAUCAUGACAUGCCAUUUUCUGGAGCAAUAAUGAACAUUGGCCUGUUUUGGAUUAGUUGAUGAUCUUCAAAAAUGAUCCAAUAAUAUCUACUAUAGAGAAGCUAAAUAUACUCCCUUUGGAGUUAACAGCCCAGAUUGUUACUGAACUUUCAAGAUGACAGAUCCGAUCAUGGACUUUUUUGAUGAUGCCAAUCUUUUCGGUGAGACCUUAGAAGGUUUGUCAGAUGAUGCAUUUAUACACCCAGUACCUGUGUCAUUAGUUGAUGAAUUGAACUUGGGUGCAGAGUUUGAACCUUUGCACAUAGACUCGCUGAACCAUGUUCAAGGUACUCCAACACAUCAGAAGAUGACUGAUUUUGAACAGUUAAAUCAGUUUGAUUCAAUGAAAUUUCACCAAGUUAAUCAAUCUUUUGGAAGUCCAGCUGAACAUGUGUUAUCUCCACACUCUCAGUUUAAUUGUUCUCCUAUCCACCCCCCAAACCAACCUAAUGGUUUGUUUCCAGAUGUAGCAGAUGGCAGUCCAAUGUGGGGCCAUCAGACAGCUACUAGUAUUUCUAAUCAAAAUGGAUCUCCUUUUCACCAACAAGGACAUUCACAUCCUAUGCAUCAAAGUAAAAACUUUGUGGCACACCAUGACUUCGCCUUAUUUCAGGCCAAUGAACAACAAACACAGUGUACUUCAUUACGUUCACAACAAAAUAGAAAUAAUCUUAACCCAGGGCAAAACUCUCUUGGCCGGUCUAAAAAUUUUAUAGAUGUUAGUGUUUCUGGUCCACACAGAGUGAAUGUUAACCACCCAUCACAAAUUACUAAUGCAUCUACUUCACAACAGUCUCUUCCGAUGCAAUUUUCUCAGACGUCAAACCCUUCAGUACACUUCCUCAAGUGUAACAAUCAUCAAGAAGGAAAUUUUAAUGGACUGUCUCCAAAUAUGACUCCUUGUUCUGUUAGUAAUUCACAGCACUUUUCUUCACAUUAUUCCUUUUCUAGUAAUCAUGUAUCACCCAACAGUCUCCUUCAGUCUUCUGCAGUUCCUGUACCUAAUCAUACAAAUCAAACUUUAUCUGAUUUUACUGGAAGUAAUUCCUUUUCACCUCAUCGGGGAGUCAAGCAAGAAUCCACUCCACAUAUCCUAAACCCCAGUGCAUCAUUGAAUUCAAAUAAUUUCCAAAUGUUGCAUUCGUCACAUCCUCAGGGUAAUUACAGCAAUUCAAAAUUAUCUCCUGUGCACAUGAACUUCCAAGAUCCUGUUGACUCAGGAACUCAAAUGGGCCAUUUCAAUGAUCAUGUAGAAACUAAUGGUUUUUCAACUUUAGAAGAGAAUUUACUUCAUCAAGUAGAAUCUCAUACUGAGCCAUUCACAGGACUUGACCCAGAUGAGCUGCUUCAGGAGGGUCUCCUUCCCCAAUUUGAUGAGUCAACAUUUGGACAAGAUAAUUCAAAUCAUGUUUUGGAUCAUGACCUUGAUCGACACUUUACUUCACAUCUUGUAGCACGACCUUCUGAUAUUCCUCAAACUCAGUUGGAAUAUCAGGCUCGGAGUUGGCAUUCAUCAUUUUCUAGUCAUCAGCAUUUACAUGACAGAAAUCGCCUGUAUUUACAGCGACAGGUAUGUAACUCUUUUUAUUUAAGCAACUUGGGGUAGAUUGGGCUUUUUUUUGCUCAUUGAGUUAAUUCUAUAUGAGACCUAAUCAAGAUUUUAUCAACUCAGAACUCUAUUGAGUAGUGUAUUUUGACGGGUUUAUCUUGCUUUGAAAAGUCUUGAGGAAGCUGGGCACUGGUGGCUCACGCCUGUAAUCCUAGCUACUUUGGAAGCUUUGAUCAAGAAGAUCAAGGCUCAAGG